ensembl:processed_transcript
UACACUGUAAAAAAAAUCUGUAAAAUAACAGUUAAAUGACUGUAUAUUUUAACAGAUUUUUUCCGUAUACACGUAUUACGGGUGUUUUUCCGUUUAUAUACAUUUUCGAAUUGCAUUGUGGGAAGGGGAUCGCAGCUCAGACAGCGUUUGAUGGACACCGGGACAUAUUUCUUCCUCUGUUUUUUCCCUGUUGUUUGUCCGUAUUUUUCUAAACUGCCGUGCGCGGGAAGUGGCGUGACGUCCCAAUCACCCACUCACUCCCUCUGCACCUGACUGGAUUAACGGUAAACGUCAGUUUGUCUGUAAGAGUGUAAAAG